GACGAACGCUGGCGGCGUGCUUAACACAUGCAAGUCGAACGGAAAGGCCCUGCUUUUGUGGGGUGCUCGAGUGGCGAACGGGUGAGUAACACGUGAGUAACCUGCCCUUGACUUUGGGAUAACUUCAGGAAACUGGGGCUAAUACCGGAUAGGAGCUCCUGCUGCAUGGUGAGGGUUGGAAAGUUUCGGCGGUUGGGGAUGGACUCGCGGCUUAUCAGCUUGUUGGUGGGGUAGUGGCUUACCAAGGCUUUGACGGGUAGCCGGCCUGAGAGGGUGACCGGCCACAUUGGGACUGAGAUACGGCCCAGACUCCUACGGGAGGCAGCAGUGGGGAAUAUUGCACAAUGGGCGGAAGCCUGAUGCAGCAACGCCGCGUGCGGGAUGACGGCCUUCGGGUUGUAAACCGCCUUCGCCUGUGACGAAGCGUGAGUGACGGUAAUGGGUAAAGAAGCACCGGCUAACUACGUG
rnacentral:rRNA from 1 species